rnacentral:rRNA from 1 species
AGCGAACGCUGGCGGCAGGCCUAACACAUGCAAGCCGAACGAAGUCUUCGGACUUAGUGGCGGACGGGUGAGUAACACGUGGGAACGUGCCUUUAGGUUCGGAAUAACUCAGGGAAACUUGUGCUAAUACCGAAUGUGCCCUUCGGGGGAAAGAUUUAUCGCCUUUAGAGCGGCCCGCGUCUGAUUAGCUAGUUGGUGAGGUAAGGCUCACCAAGGUGACGAUCAGUAGCUGGUCUGAGAGGAUGAUCAGCCACAUUGGGACUGAGACACGGCCCAAACUCCUACGGGAGGCAGCAGUGGGGAAUCUUGCGCAAUGGGCGAAAGCCUGACGCAGCCAUGCCGCGUGAAUGAUGAAGGUCUUAGGAUUGUAAAAUUCUUUCACCGGGGACGAUAAUGACGGUACCCGGAGAAGAAGCCCCGGCUAACUUCGUGCCAGCAGCCGCCGUAA